UUUAAGCUUCAGUUUAUAAAGCAAGUUAGUACAUCUUCUCAACAUGGAGAGAUGUUUUUUGAUGAUUCUUAUGUCUGUGCCAGGGUUUUUGUCUGACAGCAUUGGACCAAAAGACAAGGAAACUAUAAACAAAAAUGAAGGAGAGUCUGUGACACUGAGCUGCUCGUAUGAUGCAAGCAGCACUUACGUCUAUCUCUACUGGUAUAGUCAGUAUCCUAAUAGAAAACCUGAAUUUUUACUGUGGAAAGGUGCCCAGUCAAGGAGCGAUAGAGAGGAUAUACCAGACCGUCAACGGUUUCAGUCGACUACAUCAGAUUCAUCCACUGAACUCACUAUUAGAAGUGUAACUCUGUCAGAUUCAGCUCUCUAUUACUGUGCUCUAAGAGUAUUAGUAUCCCAGUGA